rnacentral:tRNA from 1 species
GCCUGACUGGCUCAGUGAGUAGAGCAUGUGAUUCUUGAUCUCAAGGUCAUGAGUUCAAGCCCCACGUUGGGGA